rnacentral:rRNA from 1 species
GACGAACGCGGCGGCGUGCCUAAUACAUGCAAGUCGAACGAGAGCGACCGGUGCUUGCACUGGUCAAUCUAGUGGCGAACGGGUGAGUAACACGUGGGUAACCUGCCCAUCAGAGGGGGAUAACAUUCGGAAACGGAUGCUAAAACCGCAUAGGUUCUACAGUCGCAUGACUGAAGAAGGAAAAGAGGCUUCGGCUUCUGCUGAUGGAUGGAUCCGCGGUGCAUUAGCUAGUUGGUGAGGUAACGGCUCACCAAGGCCGUGAUGCAUAGCCGACCUGAGAGGGUGAUCGGCCACAUUGGGACUGAGACACGGCCCAAACUCCUACGGGAGGCAGCAGUAGGGAAUCUUCCGCAAUGGACGCAAGUCUGACGGAGCAACGCCGCGUGAGUGAAGAAGGAUUUCGGUUCGUAAAACUCUGUUGUUAGAGAAGAACAGCGCAUAGAGUAACUGUUAUGCGUGUGACGG